ensembl:antisense 4930524O07Rik RIKEN cDNA 4930524O07 gene
GGUGCACGGGUCGCCAUGUUGGGUUAGGGCAGCUGCUUUGGCUGCUUACCCGGAACCCUCUCAAUCUAUUGACUCGACCCGAAUGCCGAGUCUUGGUUCCACACCCACUCCUCCCGACGCCCGGACUCGUAGAGCAGCAUUUCUGGUGCCACCCUAUAGCCAGUAGGAUGGGCGGCGGGAGCAUGGAUCAGAAGCGGUUCCUUGUUUUGAACUACCACGUGGAUUGCCGAGCCAAUCAAGGGGAACGUCCACUUUGAUUCGCCGGCUUGCUCAGACCCCGCUUUAACCUGGGUCAGACGGCAGAACCUCUUAAACGAAAGGCUCUCGGCCUGCCUAGUCGUUUCCCGUCCUGGGCCUCUGAGGACCUCGCGGCAAGGCUGCGAGCAGAGGCGUUGGUCUACCUUCCAAAUGGAGGCCAUGGGAUCUUGGGAGGUUUUGUUCUCCACUCUUGGAGACACGAGGAUGGGAACUGGAGACAUUACCGCCUGGACUGCCCUAAUGCUAAGUGCAAGGGCUUUGGCCACUCGCCCUGGAAGGCGGAAUAUGGAGAGCGGCCGACUGACUAAGUGCAGAAAAGUAUCUGGAGCUAAAAGGGCUUGGAGCCCGGCGACAAGGGUUUGAGAGGGGCACUUAUGCUCCCAUUCAGUGAAAUCAGUGGAUCAAUAUCAGUGGAGAAGGGAGAUGUCUGCAUGUGAUGACUGGCUGCCUCCGUGGACUGAGGUUCAGACGUGCCUGGAAACAAACCUAAAGCUGCCCUACCUAAGAAUCACAUCCCAAGCUAGACUUGACCCUCAUACCUGUGAACCCAGACGGUCCAGAAACAAGCUUACCAGUGAGUCUGGGCUCAGGAACAGGUGUGUGUGCCCUUGGUGCUGGGGCUAUUGGAUUGGCCUACCUACAUCCUCAACAGUCUCCACUCUGCCUGAAUGAUCCUGAGGGUAUCAGAAAGCCCUACACUGUUGGUACCUGGGCCCCAACAUACUGUGAACGGAAAUGGGCCUUCUUUCUUUUCCUAUAGGUUAUUUGCUGGCAGUUCUAUUAAACUUGUUUCUAAG